rnacentral:rRNA from 1 species
ACGCUGGCGGUAGGCCUAACACAUGCAAGUCGAACGGCAGCACAGUAAGAGCUUGCUCUUAUGGGUGGCGAGUGGCGGACGGGUGAGGAAUACAUCGGAAUCUACCUUUUCGUGGGGGAUAACGUAGGGAAACUUACGCUAAUACCGCAUACGACCUUCGGGUGAAAGCAGGGGACCUUCGGGCCUUGCGCGGAUAGAUGAGCCGAUGUCGGAUUAGCUAGUUGGCGGGGUAAAGGCCCACCAAGGCGACGAUCCGUAGCUGGUCUGAGAGGAUGAUCAGCCACACUGGAACUGAGACACGGUCCAGACUCCUACGGGAGGCAGCAGUGGGGAAUAUUGGACAAUGGGCGCAAGCCUGAUCCAGCCAUACCGCGUGGGUGAAGAAGGCCUUCGGGUUGUAAAGCCCUUUUGUUGGGAAAGAAAAGCAAUCGAUUAAUACUCGGUUGUUCUGACGGUACCCAAAGAAUAAGCACCGGCUAACUUCGUGCCAGCAGCCGCGGUAAUACGAAGGGUGCAAGCGUUACUCGGAAUUACUGGGCGUAAAGCGUGCGUAGGUGGUUGUUUAAGUCUGUUGUGAAAGCCCUGGGCUCAACCUGGGAAUUGCAGUGGAUACUGGGCGACUAGAGUGUGGUAGAGGGUAGUGGAAUUCCCGGUGUAGCAGUGAAAUGCGUAGAGAUCGGGAGGAACAUCCAUGGCGAAGGCAGCUACCUGGACCAACACUGACACUGAGGCACGAAAGCGUGGGGAGCAAAC